AAUCAAAUCCUAAUUCUCACAAACUUUUUCCUCAAAUCCAUUCUCAAUUACCCAUAAAUCCACUCAAAAAAACAAAAUAUUACUCUCAAAUCUAUUCAAAUUCAUUCAAAUCACCUCUCCCAAAUCAUCUCUCUCAAAUCCAUCUUGAAGAAAACAGCAUAAGUGUGAAAAAGACACAUGAACAGGGGUUAGGUGUGGGAAUCUAAAAGGCAUUAUUACUUCUUAGAUCAGAAAUAAUACUUUAAUAAAUAUAAAUCUUAAUUAUCUUCCUUUAUUAUUUGCUUUUUUAAAAUAUAAAAAUUUAUUUUUUUAAUAACUAUUUUACUUUUAUAAUAUAUAUGAAAUAAAUAUAAAUAUCUCUCCGUCUUAAAUUGAAUUAAAGGAAUAAUCAAGUUGCGUGAGAAGGAGAGAUACCUUGUCGUACGUGUGUCUCCACCCACAACAAAUCUAACUAGUGGAUGAAUGGUUGUUGAGUAAAAAGCAUAAUAAUUCAAUAAUUGUACCUAUUCAUCACUUAUGCAACUUCCUAUAAAUGGAAAGGAAAUAACAAUUUUUUUUAUAAUAUAUAUAUAUAUAUAUAUAUAUAUAUAUAUAUUUUAACUAAUGAUGAAUUCGUUUUCAAUAAAUAAAUUAUAAAAUAGUAAUACAUAAUUUUUAAUAAAAUAAUUAUUAAAAAAAAUUGUUAAGAGAUACAAAUUCAAAUAUCAUUUAAUUCAAUCCAUCUAUAAAAAGUAGAGUGCAAACCUAUCACCAGCCACAGCCAGCAAUUCAAAACAUGAGGUAUAUGCCAUUAUUAUGUAUUUCUUUAAUUUCUUCACUGCCUUUAUUUUUGUGCCUCUCAGUGUCUGCAGAAUCAUGUGAUCCGCCAUGGUGAUCCAUUCUGGUGUAUCAAACCACUCACAUAGGUUUUGGUUUAACGAUGAAAUGGUUAUCAGUAACCUGUUCACUCUCUUAUUUUCAUAUGCUUUUCAUCACAGUUUUUCUUGUUCGCUCCUUUGUCAGGAUAUGUUUGUAUCGGUAAGAAACUUAAUAUCUUCAUGAUUUUCAUCGUUCUGAUAUGAAUAUAUUCGGGUUAAAUAUGUUUUUAGUAUCUAUACAUUGAAGCGAUUUUGGUUUUAGUCUCUCUUUCAAACUAAGGUAUAAUUUAGUCCUUUAAUUUUAGAAAACUUUGGUUUUAGUCCUUUAUACCAAAUUUGAAACCACAAAUAAAAAUUAAAAGAAUUUGGUAAAAAAACUAAAACCAGAGUUUUAUAGAAUUAAAGGACUAAAUUGUACCUUAGCUUGAAUGAGGGAUUAAGACCAAAAUCGCUCCAAAGUAUAAGGAGUAAAAACAUAUUUAACCCAAUAUAUUAUAAUUGAAUAGCCAUCACCAAACACUGGUAAUAGAUGGUUUGAUACAUUAGUAUGGAUCACUUUUGCGAGUCACGUUAGAACAAGUAUGGUUACCUGUGUUCUUGGUGAUUGCGAUUGGCCGGUGGGACAAAAGAGAAACUAAAAUUUGUACGGUAUUGAUACUAAUCAAUUGAACCUGCUAAGGUAUUUUACAAAUUUUCUGUAUUCCAGUGAAAGCAAACAUUGAUUAGGUUGUAGAGUGCAUACCCUAUUAAUUAUCUGUACAUUGUGAACAGGUUGUGGCCUUAGACGGAAGAAGGGACGUUGUAGCUGUUGUGAGUUCAAGUGCAGCAAAACUAUAUAGUCUCUCUACAUUCUUCUGUUAACAAACUAAAUUAUUUAAAGUUCUUAUAGUAUAGGAAUCUGAUAUUGGAAGUGGUGUGUCAUCUUUAAAUGUUACAAGAGAAUCAAAUGGAGGAAGCACAACAUAUUAAUUGUGUUUUUUUAUGUAUAUUUUAAUGAAAAUCCAAACUAUCAAUUCUUUGUAUUUUUCUUUAUACUUUAAUUAUAAUUGUGAGCAAAUAUACCAUGUUAUCUUAAUCUACC
rnacentral:lncRNA from 1 species